rnacentral:misc_RNA from 1 species
GGAAGUAAAAUCGUAACAAGGUCUCCGUUGGUGAACCAGCGGAGGGAUCAUUACUGGAAUCGCAAGAUCCCACAACCCUGUGAACCUACCGAAACGUUGCCUCGGCGGGUGCCCGGCCUCUGCGCCGGGCGCUGCGCCCGCCGGCGGCCCCCUACUCUGUCUCUGCAGCGUGGCAUCUCAGAGUCCCAGAAAACAAGUCAAAACUUUCAACAACGGAUCUCUUGGCUCUA